rnacentral:rRNA from 1 species
AGUGAACGCUGGCGGCGUGCCUAAUACAUGCAAGUCGAACGCUUUUUCUUUCACCGGAGCUUGCUCCACCGAAAGAAAAAGAGUGGCGAACGGGUGAGCAACACGUGGGUAACCUGCCCAUCAGAAGGGGAUAACACUUGGAAACAGGUGCUAAUACCGUAUAACACUAUUUUCCGCAUGGAAGAAAGUUGAAAGGCGCUUUUGCGUCACUGAUGGAUGGACCCGCGGUGCAUUAGCUAGUUGGUGAGGUAACGGCUCACCAAGGCAACGAUGCAUAGCCGACCUGCGAGGGUGAUCGGCCACACUGGGACUGAGACACGGCCCAGACUCCUACGGGAGGCAGCAGUAGGGAAUCUUCGGCAAUGGACGAAAGUCUGACCGAGCAACGCCGCGUGAGUGAAGAAGGUUUUCGGAUCGUAAAACUCUGUUGUUAGAGAAGAACAAGGAUGAGAGUAAAAUGUUCAUCCCUUGACGGUAUCUAACCAGAAAGCCACGGCUAACUACGUGCCAGCCGCCGCAGUAA